rnacentral:ncRNA from 1 species
AGUCCAAAUGAUUGGUAAAAAAAAUAUUUUUUUUAAAAUUGUCCCUGGUAUUAAUCUGGCUGCAAGUUCUAAACUUAACCCAUUUACCAAAAUAGCAAAAAAAAACAAUAAAUGCAUUUUUAGUAAUCACAAAAAUUCUUUGAAGCCAACCUUAAAACCUCUAUGUGAAGUUAGGAUUUACACUACUCCACACUUAAAUGGAACUGGAGUCAUAGGCGCCGACAUACGGGGACAUGGGGUGGUCAUCCGCCGCCACUUCGGGCGCGUUCGCCUUGGGGACUCUGGAUAACUUUGCGGAUCGCACGGUCUAGCACCCGCGACGGAUCAUUCAAGUGUCUGCCCUAUCAACUUUCGUCAGAACGGUAUUUGCCUACCGAGGUUCUUACUGGUGACGGGGAAUCAUGGUUCCAUUCCGGAGAGGGAGCCUGAGAAACGGCUACCACAUCCAAGGAAAGCAGCAGGCGCGCAAAUUACCCAUUCCCGACGCGGGGAGGUAGUGACCAAAAAUAACAAUGCAGGACUCGUUCGAGGCCCUGUAAUUGGAAUGAGUACACUUUAAAAGCUUUAACGAGUAUCCAUUGGAGGGCAAGUCUGGUGCCAGCAGCCGCGGAAAUUCCAGCUCCAAAA